ensembl:lncRNA
AGUAUCUCUUGCCCAAGGUCACACUGUAGGACGGGAGAGGCAGAAAGGCAACCCUUCGCUGCUUUCCAAGCCCAGGCCGUCUAGAAAGGAAUGCCAUGUUUUCCUGUUUCCAAUUAACUUCCCCCCACCAGCAGCCCUCUGCAUUCUUGAGACCAGGAGUCAAGACAGCCACGGGGGAGAGGUCAGAGAUGACGGGGCCCCCCCGCCCAACCCCCAUCCCAAGUUGGGGGAGAGGUUGAAAGUACAGAGCGCUUAUCAGAAAUCUCAGGCCGUGAAGUCUGGGGUG